rnacentral:rRNA from 1 species
UCCGUAGCCGGUUUGAUCAGUCUUUUGGGAAAUCUGACAGCUUAACUGUUAGGCUUCCAAAGGAUACUGUCAGACUUGGGACCGGAGAGGUAAGAGGUACUACAGGGGUAGGAGUGAAAUCUUGUAAUCCCUGUGGGACCACCAGUGGCGAAGGCGUCUUACCAGAACGGGUCCGACGGUGAGGGACGAAAGCUGGGGGCACGAACAGGAUUAGAUACCCUGGUAGUCC